AGUGAGAAUGCCGGAAUGAGUAGCGAGAAUUAUGUGAGAAUCAUAAUGGUCGAAAAUCUAAGGUUUCUUGAGGAAGGUUCGUCCGCUCAAGGUAAGCCGGGAGCUAAGGCGAGGCCGAGAGGCGUAGUCGAUGCACAUACGGUAAAGAUUCCGUAGCCACCGAAGUCGUUAAAUACAGGGACACAGGAACAUAGCCUAACCCCACCGUUGGUUGAGUGGGGCGUAAGGGAGCGAAAAUUAGUAGCGAAGUAGGUGAUUGUACACUGGCGAGAAAAGCUGUAUGAAUUGACCAGGUGCCCGUACCGCAAACCGACACAGGUAGAUGAGGAGAGAAUCCUAAGACCAGCGGGAGAAGUGUUGUUAAGGAACUCGGCAAAAUGACCCCGUAACUUCGGGAUAAGGGGAGCCUACGAGAGUAGGCCGCAGAGAAUAGUCUCAAGCGACUGUUUAGCAAAAACACAGGUCUAUGCUAAAUCGAAAGAUGAUGUAUAUGGGCUGACGCCUGCCCGGUGCUGGAAGGUUAAGGGGAAGUGUUAGAGCAAUCGAAGCACUGAACUUAAGCCCCAGUAAACGGCGGCCGUAACUAUAACGGUCCUAAGGUAGCGAAAUUCCUUGUCAGGUAAGUUCUGACCCGCACGAAUGGCGUAACGACUUGAGAGCUGUCUCAACAACAUACCCGGCGAAAUUGAAGUACUGGUAAAGAUGCCAGUUACCCGUGAUAAGACGGAAAGACCCCAUGGAGCUUUACUGUAACUUGAUAUUGAAUUUUUGUAUUACAUGUACAGGAUAGGUGGGAGACAGAGAACUAAUGCCGCCAGGUGUUAGGGAGUCGAUGUUGGGAUACCACUCUUGUAAUAUGAAGGUUCUAACCUGCACCCGUGAAUCCGGGUGGGGGACACUGUCAGGUGGACAGUUUGACUGGGGCGGUCGCCUCCUAAAAGGUAACGGAGGCGUUCAAAGGUUGGUUCAGCACGGACGGAAAUCGUGCAACGAGUGCAAACGCAUAAACCAGCCUAACUGCGAGACCGACAAGUCGAGCAGUAACGAAAGUUGGAGUUAGUGAUCCGGCGGUAUGAGAGUGGAAUUGCCGUCGCUCAACGGAUAAAAGCUACCCUGGGGAUAACAGGCUGAUCUCCCCCAAGAGUUCACAUCGACGGGGAGGUUUGGCACCUCGAUGUCGGCUCAUCGCAUCCUGGAGCUGAAGUCGGUUCCAAGGGUUGGGCUGUUCGCCCAUUAAAGCGGUACGCGAGCUGGGUUCAGAACGUCGCGAGACAGUUCGGUCCCUAUCUAUCACGGGCGUAGGAAAUUUGAGGAGAGCUGACCUUAGUACGAGAGGACCGGGUUGGACGUACCGCUGGUGCACCUGUUGUUCUGCCAAGGGCAUAGCAGGGUAGCUAAGUACGGACGGGAUAAACGCUGAAGGCAUCUAAGCGUGAAGCCCCCUUCGAGAUAAGAUUUCCCAUAGCGUAGGCUAGUAAGGACCCAUGAAGACUACAUGGUUGAUAGGCCGGAGGUGGAAGUGCAGUAAUGUAUGUAGCUGACCGGUACUAAUAGUCCGAGGGCUUGACCAA
rnacentral:rRNA from 1 species